AUAUAAUCGCGCUGUGUAGGUGCUUUUGUCGCGCUUUAAAACAACCUAAGUGACAAGAGUUAAACGGGAAAUCAGUGAAAAUCUGAUGCUGCCCCCGCAACGGUAAACUCAACGCAUUGUCGUUUUCUUUUCAUUCGCCACUGUCUUUUAUACGUUAACGCGCUACAGCGCAUUUAGACGCCACUAGAUGGGAAGGCAAAAGAGCCAUUACUUUAUCGGUAUUGGUGAGUAAGCCCGGAUACCGGCCUGUACUUCAUGGUGUCGU
rnacentral:ncRNA from 1 species